UCCUUGAUUGUGCUCUGAGUAUCUUAAAGAGAAAAAUUAGUGAGAAAGAGUACCAUCAGGCUGUGACUGAGAUCUGCAUCUCAAAUGAAGAUGGACACUUGGUACUGAAGAAUGGUGAAAUGCCUUGAAUUCGAUAUGCCAUCAGGCUGUGACUGAGAUCUGCAUAUCAAAUGAAGAUGGAUAUUUGGUAUUGAAGAAUGGUGAAAUGCCCUGAAUUCGAUAUGAUGAUGAACCUUGUAGAUGUCCAAAGUGCUUGAAGUUUACUGUAGUCACAGAAGGUGGUAAAUAACCAUUCUAGCAUUGCAUGUCGUUCUCUAAAAAUAGUUGGAUGU
rnacentral:lncRNA from 1 species